rnacentral:rRNA from 1 species
AGGGUUCGAUUAUGGCUCAGGAUGAACGCUAGCUACAGGCUUAACACAUGCAAGUCGCGGGGCAGCAUGAAGGAUGCUUGCAUCUUUUGAUGGCGACCGGCGGACGGGUGAGUAACGCGUGGGUAACCUGCCCUGUACCGGGGGACAACAGUUGGAAACGACUGCUAAUACCGCAUAAGCGCACAGCAUCGCAUGAUGCAGUGUGAAAAACUCCGGUGGUACAGGAUGGACCCGCGUCUGAUUAGCUAGUUGGUGAGGUAACGGCUUACCAAGGCAACGACCAGUAGCCGACUUGAGAGAGUGAUCGGCCACAUUGGGACUGAGACACGGCCCAA